ACCUCACACUUGAGAGUCCCAUGCCUUAUCCACUGUACCACCUUCCAGACCACACUUAUCAAUUUUUGAGAUUCUUUUCUUUAUUUGAUAGGACAGAGAGAAAUCAAGAGGAAAUGAGAAGCUAGAGGAGAGAAAGACACACCUGCAGCCCUCCUUCACCACUUGUGAAACUUACCCCUGCAGGCGGCAGAUGGGCUGAGUCCUGAGAAGGGCCAGGAGGCUUCCCUGAGGCCUUUUGAGGAGGAAGCAGGAAAACCAGCCUCACUUCCUGACCAUGCUUCUGUCUGGCCAAGGCUGGUAAGAGGGGCCUGAUCAUCUCCCGGGGCAUUGGGGUGUUGAGUCCCACCUGGCCAUGGAGCCCAGUGCUUGGACAUUCCUGAGGGCCUCUUCUCAGUUUGGAAAGCACGGCUCACAGCUGUCCCUGUGUCUGACUUGAAACUGCCCAGCACGUUCACCAGCCUGACGUCUGGGAUCUGAGCCCGUCCUCUGCUGCGUCCCCCCAGCCCGAGGUGCACUUCCUCCUCGCUGCAGAUGGAGCCCAGCGCAGGCUUGUUCUCUCGCCCAGCGGUGGCCUGCUCCCCAUCAGCAGAACCUUGUGUGGAAGAUGAGGGGCCCUCAGC